rfam:Parcubacteria bacterium GW2011_GWC1_36_108 TR95_C0005, whole genome shotgun sequence.
UGAUAAGGGUGAAGUCGUAACAAGGCAUCCGUAGCGGAAGCUGUGGAUGGAUCACCUCCUUU